rnacentral:rRNA from 1 species
UACGUAGGGCGCAAGCGUUGUCCGGAAUUAUUGGGCGUAAAGAGCUCGUAGGCGGUUUGUCGCGUCUGCUGUGAAAACUCGAGGCUCAACCUCGGGCUUGCAGUGGGUACGGGCAGACUAGAGUGCGGUAGGGGAGACUGGAAUUCCUGGUGUAGCGGUGGAAUGCGCAGAUAUCAGGAGGAACACCGGUGGCGAAGGCGGGUCUCUGGGCAGUAACUGACGCUGAGGAGCGAAAGCGUGGGGAGCGAACAGG